CCAAUAUGUCACCCUUUCAGCGAGGCCUGGUGAUACUAAACGUUCUCCUUUGCUGAGACAAUCCAGCACUACACUGUGGGUAGACGGUACAUCCAGAGUCCAGAGCAGUCUGGACAGCAGCACCUCCUCCUGCCCGGAGAACCGACGCUUAACAAAACCACUCCCAAGCAGGGCUCGACAGCUCACAUUUGUAACCCUGGCACAUGCCAAGUUGAGGCAUCAGACCGACCCAAGAACUGACCCAAGCUUGAAGCAAGCUGGCCGAUAUCGUGAGUUGCAGGCCAGCCCGGAAUACACAUUUUUUCCUCAAAAAACAGGAGAGAUUUCUCACUGUUUAUGAGCACUUGCUGCUCCUCCAGAGGACUGCAGUUUAAUACCCACUGCCCACAUCUCGGUCUCAACCAUCUGUAGCUCCAGCUCCAGGGGACAUCUACACACAGGGUAGGCAUACACACAUAAUGCACACAUGUCCACACAAUAAAAAUAAAA
rnacentral:lncRNA from 1 species